AAGCAGCCAUCAUUUAAAGAAAGCGUAAUAGCUCACUGGUCGAGUCGGCCUGCGCGGAAGAUGUAACGGGGCUAAACCAUGCACCGAAGCUGCGGCAGCGACACUAUGUGUUGUUGGGUAGGGGAGCGUUCUGUAAGCCUGUGAAGGUGUGCUGUGAGGCAUGCUGGAGGUAUCAGAAGUGCGAAUGCUGACAUAAGUAACGAUAAAGCGGGUGAAAAGCCCGCUCGCCGGAAGACCAAGGGUU
rnacentral:rRNA from 1 species